GGUGGGUAGGGGGCUUCUGCCGGAGACCAUCAGGAUCGUUGCAAUUACUAACCCCGCUCCUCUCCUUUGGCUGCGGCUCCUGCUGGGUGACAUGCAGUCCCUCAUUUCUCCUGUGACCAAGGCUAUUCUGGUAGCUUUGUUCAUCUUUGCCAUCCUCCUGAUCCUCUAUGUGAUUCUCUGGUAUAUCUGCCGAGAUGUGGAUUGCGACCACGGAAUCUGAGCUGGGAUGCUGGGCAACGGCUUAACAUAACAAGUGACAGACACACACAAGCCAAACCAAAAUCGAAGCCAGCCAAAAGAGCCCAGGGGAGAGAACCACAGUCGAGGCACAACCUGAGAUUGACCUUCAGAGAUCAGGGUGACCCGAUUUACCAAAAGAAAAAAAAUGUGCGCUGUAAAUUCUGAAUGGCAAAAGCACGUUACCCUGCGCAAGAGGAUCAAUGGCUAAGGGUUAAACACCGAGCAAACCCAGCAGUCUCCGAAUCUGUUGAUAAAGUGUGUAAUUGAAGACUCGAGCACUUUAUCCCACAAACCCGAACCAGAAGAUGCUUUCUCCAUCCCCUGAGUACACUUCAAAGCAGAUUUAUCUAGAACCUAAAUGCUAAUUAUUUAGGGAAAAGUGUGAGAACAGCCACCAGCAACACAUAAACACCACCCUAUACCGGAAACCUACUGGCCGCUAUUCCUACCUACAUGCCUCCAGCUUUCACCCUGACCACACCACACGAUCCAUUGUCUACAGCCAAGCUCUGCGAUACAACUGCAUUUGCUCCAACCCGUCAGAGAGAGACAAACACCUACAAGAUCUCUAUCAAGCAUUCUUACAACUACAAUACCCACCUGCUGAAGUGAAAAAACAAAUUGACAGAGCCAGAAGAGUACCCAGAAGUCACCUACUACAGGACAGGCCCAAAAAAGAAAAUAACAGAACACCAUUAGCCAUCACCUUCAGCCCCCAACUAAAACCUCUCCAGCGCAUCAUCAAGGAUCUACAACCUAUCCUGAAGGACGACCCAUCACUCUCACAAAUCUUGGGAGACAGGCCAGUCCUUGCCUACAGACAGCCCCCCAACCUGAAGCAAAUACUCACCAGCAACCACACACCACACAACAGAACCACUAACCCAGGAACCUAUCCUUGCAACAAAGCCCGUUGCCAACUGUGUCCACAUAUCUAUUCAGGGGACACCAUCACAGGGCCUAAUCACAUCAGCCACACUAUCAGAGGCUCGUUCACCUGCACAUCUACCAGUGUGAUAUAUGCCAUCAUGUGCCAGCAAUGCCCCUCUGCCAUGUACAUUGGUCAAACUGGACAGUCUCUACAUAAAAGAAUAAAUGGACACAAAUCAGAUGUCAAGAAUUAUAACAUUCAUAAACCAGUCGGAGAACACUUCAGUCUCUCUGCGUCAUUACACAAAGUAAAACUAUUUCCCCAUGUUUAUUUCUCCACCCCCACCCCCUACUGCUCCUGGGGCGUUUCUGUUAACUGCUGGAAAUGGCCCACCUUGAUUAUCACUACAAAAGGUUCCCCCCGGUAAUAGCUCAUCUUAAGUGAUCACUCUCCUUACAGUGUGUAUGAUAACACCCAUUUUUUCAUGUUCUGUGUGUAUAUAAAUCUCCUCACUGGUUUUUUCCACUGAAUGCAUCCGAUGAAAUGAGCUGUAGCU